UCAACCCUCAAGCCUGGCUUGGUGUUGGACCUCCAGGCGGCGGCCUUGUGUCGUCGCCGGUCCCAAAGACAAUGACGGCGUCCCGGCGGACCCUCGGUACACGGAGCUUUCCAAGCACGUACCGCAGCGGCCGCGGGACACGGUCUCUCUUUUUUAUACGAAA
rnacentral:misc_RNA from 1 species